rnacentral:rRNA from 1 species
UACGUAGGUGGCAAGCGUUGUCCGGAUUUAUUGGGCGUAAAGGGAGCGCAGGCGGUGAUUUAAGUCUGAUGUGAAAGCCCACGGCUCAACCGUGGAAUGGCAUUGGAAACUGGGUCACUUGAGUGCAGAAGAGGAAAGCGGAAUUCCAUGUGUAGCGGUGAAAUGCGUAGAUAUUGAGAAGAACACCAGUAGCGAAGGCGGCUUUCUGGACUGUAACUGACACUGAGGCACGAAAGCGUGGGUAGCAAACAGG